rnacentral:rRNA from 1 species
CGUAGGUGCGAGCGUUAAUCGGAAUUACUGGGCGUAAAGCGUGCGCAGGCGGUUUGAUAAGCCAGAUGUGAAAUCCCCGGGCUUAACCUGGGAACUGCAUUUGGAACUGUCAGACUAGAGUAUAGCAGAGGGGGUAGGAAUUCCACGUGUAGCAGUGAAAUGCGUAGAGAUGUGGAGGAAUACCAAUGGCGAAGGCAGCCCCCUGGGUUAAUACUGACGCUCAUGCACGAAAGCGUGGGAGCAAACAGGAUU